UGAUUACCAGACCUCUUUAUCUCUUCGUCCAAUAACUUCAAGCCCGCUUGCAAGGAGCUUUGAGUCGUUUCAUGUUGAUUGACGCACUUUAAUCAGUAAUUUACAGUGCGACUUGGCAAUCGUUGGCGAUGCCUUUGUGGCUCUCGUUACGUUAUCAUCAUAAAAAUUUAAUCAGACAAGUCAAAUUCAAUGCAUUACUUCACUGCGCAAGUACAUGUCAAAGGGAAAAUGAAAAGGCAGAUGAGUCUAAAGAUCUGACAAGAAAUCCGGGAUCACCCUCCGCAGCUCAGUCUGGUUUAUGUAACACGACUCCGAAAGAGAGAGAACUGAGUUUUCCUCCUCCGUGUAAAAAACCGCAGGGAUUUAUACGUCCCUUUGAAGCGUUCAGAGCAACUUUUCGCCCCAUUUGACACUUAAAAUUGGACGUGUUUCUAUCAAACAGACCUAUGUGCAAGAGAGAAAUAUGGGGUGUGCUCGUUAGUUCUCUGGCCGUAAGAGUGAAUGAGAAUAAUAAAGCGCCAGUGACGUCAACGGAGAUGGAUGCCGUCGUCGCGGCGCUUCGUAGUAGUCAUUAACUCAUGAACCCUGUCCACAACACUCUCGUCCCAUGCCCGCGGCUCAUGAAUCCCGCAUUCAGUUGCCACAUAGGUCUGUUUGAUAGAAUGUAAAAUCCCGCUUUUCCAAUUCUCCAAAAGGAAUCACGCCCACUUUUACAUUGCUUCUUAUGCAGCUUCGACGAGCACGAGCACACCCCAUAUUUCUCACCUCCACAUAGGUCUGUUUGGUAGAAAUACGUCCAAUUAUUGAAAAAACUUACCUAGUUUGAAUCAUGGAAAAAGGUAAAUCUCUGAGAGCGAAACUCAACUUUUUUUUAUUCGAUAACAGUCCCGUUUUGCCUUUACGACCUGUUUUUUUAGUGCUUACUACUUAUACUCAUUUUAUGCGUUAGGAAAGACUCAAUGCGUGCUAACGGCUCCCUAUAAAAUGUUUCUACUAUUUUGUGUGUGUAUCCUUCACCAGACACACGGACUCUCAGUGCCACCAGACGAUGGGUCCAGUUUCCCUUCAUCCCUGCACUUUCAACCUCUAGCGGCAUUUCUCGAAGAGGAUCCAAUCACAAAGCCCCCGCGGCCGAUGUUCAAUGUCACCCAUAAAAUUUUUAUGGACUUCAAGCAAGGAGAAAAGGAUUGGGGCGCAUCAUAUUCGGGCUCUUCGGCGAGGUCGCCCCCAAAACUGUGGAGAACUUCAGGACCAUUGCAACAGUCGGUAUCAAUGGCAAGACAUACGCUGGCACUAAUAUUUAUCGGAUUGUUAAUACAUUUUUGUUUCUAG
rnacentral:lncRNA from 1 species